rnacentral:rRNA from 1 species
CACGUAGGGCGCAAGCGUUGUCCGGAAUUAUUGGGCGUAAAGAGCUCGUAGGCGGUCUGUUGCGUCUGCUGUGAAAACCCGGGGCUUAACCUCUGGCUUGCAGUGGAUACGGACAGACUAGAGGUAGGUAGGGGAGAAUGGAAUUCCCGGUGUAGCGGUGAAAUGCGCAGAUAUCGGGAGGAACACCGGUGGCGAAGGCGGUUCUCUGGGCCUUACCUGACGCUGAGGAGCGAAAGCGUGGGGAGCGAACAGG